rnacentral:lncRNA from 1 species
AUUUGAUGUCUUCCUCUAUAGUCCUGUGCCUUGUUCCCUUGACACAGGGUUUCUCACUGAACACGGAGGCUUUUUCAGCUAGGCUAGUCUCAGCAAGUCUCCUGUCUCUUUCUACCCUCUGCCCUCUGCAGUGUGGGGGUUACAGGCAUGUGCAUGCAUGUAUAGCCAUGCCACAUGUUCACAGUCAUGCUGGGCAUUUCAGGGUCUCCUUCCUGACAGUGCUCAUGAGAAAGCAGGUGACUUUUGCCAGUGAAUGAACAUUCAACAGACACCAGUGGAGGUUCUUACCUGUCAAGAUCACCCAAAAUGAUCCAGAGGUAGUCAAGACCAGAGGGCAGCCUAAGGCGCUGACCCAUACAAGUUGGAAUCAAUCCACAG